rnacentral:rRNA from 1 species
GUCCACGCCCUAAACUAUGGAUACUAAGUGUCGGCGGGUUACCGCCGGUGCCGCAGCUAACGCAUUAAGUAUCCCGCCUGGGAAGUACGGCCGCAAGGUUGAAACUCAAAGGAAUUGACGGGGGCCCGCACAAGCGGUGGAGCAUGUGGUUUAAUUCGACGCAACGCGAAGAACCUUACCCAGGUUGGACAUGCACGUAGUAGAAGGGUGAAAGCCUAACGAGGUAGCAAUACCAGCGUGCUCAGGUGCUGCAUGGCUGUCGU